rnacentral:tRNA from 1 species
AGUGGAUUAAUGUAAUAAGUAACAUAUUUGACUCAUGACCAAAGUAUAUAGGUGCAAGUCCUAUAUCCGCUU